rnacentral:misc_RNA from 1 species
UCCGGGUUGGACCCGGCGGUCCCGCCAGACGUGGUAACUGACGGCGGGGGUUGCGCUCGUUGCGGGACUUAACCCAACACCUCACGGCACGAGCUGACGACAGCCGUGCAGCAUCUGUGCACGCUCCCUCGCGGGUCCUCGGCGUUUCCGCCUCGUACCACGUGCAUGUCAAGCCCAGGUAAGGUUCUUCGCGUUGCGUCGAAUUAAACCACACGCUCCGCUGCUUGUGCGGGCCCCCGUCAAUUCCUUUGAGUUUUAGCCUUGCGGCCGUAGUCCCCAGGCGGCGCACUUAUCGCGUUGGCUGCGGCACCGGGGGGGUCGAUACCCCCGACACCUAGUGCGCAUCGUUUACGGCGUGGACUAC